GUGCUCCCACAGUGGGCUCUGGUGUGAGCCCAGACAGGACAAAUGGCGUUUUUCUUAUCUCCCUUGCUGCUUUUUUUUUAAUCACUCGGAUUCAGCUUCUGCUUUGGUAAGGUUCAGUGUUUUCUGGGAUGAGCACCUUACUGCAGGGCAGUUUCUAGUGACUGAAGUGGGGAUUUGACACACACCAGUGGUGCUGCCAUGUGAAUACGAGUCUGGCUGGCUGUGGCUUCCCAAAGGGUGACUCCAGUCCUCAUGGGAAUUAGCCCAGUCGGUGUUUUCAUUGCUGAGGGGGCACAGGAUAAUGCUGCUAUCAGCUUCGUUAUUUACUUCAUCUCUGGCUCACUCAGCAGCUGCUUCCUUGAAUCAACAUGUCCCUACCAAAUUAUGAAUACAUAAGAAUUUAUCCUAGGAGACCUUCCAGCUGUCACCUAACAAGAAAAAUUUUAAAAGCAGCAGCUCCUUCCCUUCAUCCUGAUGGCAGACCAGCAAAAGCAAAUACUGGCAACACUGGUAGCAGUGGGGAACAUUUCUGCUUGAACAUGAGCUGGUAUGAAGGACUUGUUUUGGUAUCCACUGCAGGAUACUGGGAAAGUGGGAUUUCCAGAGGUGCUGAAAGACAUGUGAAAAGAGGGGGUUCAGGUUGCAUCCAGCUGAAAUUCAAGUCUUCAAACUGAUGCAGCUGCAAACAUCCCUUUAAACCUUCAGCCGAGUUGGCUAAAAUCCUUGGAAGAAACAAGCUAGAAUUACACCUUCUCUGCGAAAUAGCAGCAAUUAGGGCAGAUGCCCUCCUCUAACUCUGAGCCAGGCAGCCUGGGUGACAAAUAUGUCAAAUUAAUACAUCACCAGUGAGAAUGAAGAAAAAUUGCGGAAGUCGGGCAGUUUGGUGGAAGAGAAGCAUCAGGAGUUCAAUGUGAAGACGGGAUGAUUCAUGAGGCCAAGCUGGUGGAAGGGUGAAGGAGGACGAAUGCAGAAAACUUGGAGGGCCCUCUCUCUGGUGACCUUGGCAGCAAAAGGGAAAAAAAAUACCAGAAAAUGAAAGUGACUGUCAACUCCCAACAGGGAUGGAUCACACCAUAAAUCAAGCAUAGCCCUGAGAGAGAGGAGAGGGGCUUAGGGUGGGGGGCAAGCGUGGCAGAGGAAACCGUUGGGUAAUUUAACUCUUUGAACCUUGCAUGCCUUUUAUUCGUAGUUUAGUGGAGUUGGUAAAACAUAUGUGAGUCCCUUCCCUUUGCAGUGGUUUACAUAAAAGUGUGUCAGGGGCAGAUAGAUGGCGAAACAUUGCUUUCCAUUGGCUGGGAUUUAGAGUACAGUACCAAUAAGUAUUUCCUUCAGCCCAGGAAAAGAGAAAAAUGAGAGACUGAGGCUCCUGUGACACAUAACUAAAUCAGUUGGUUGGGAGGCCUAAUCCAGGAGAGACUUUUUGGUGAUUUGCAGGGGGAAAAAUAUAGAUUUAAG